GGCGGCAGGCCUAACACAUGCAAGUCGAGCGGCAGCACGGGUACUUGUACCUGGUGGCGAGCGGCGGACGGGUGAGUAAUGCCUAGGAAUCUGCCUGGUAGUGGGGGAUAACGCUCGGAAGCGGACGCUAAUACCGCAUACGUCCUACGGGAGAAAGCAGGGGACCUUCGGGCCUUGCGCUAUCAGAUGAGCCUAGGUCGGAUUAGCUAGUUGGUGAGGUAAUGGCUCACCAAGGCGACGAUCCGUAACUGGUCUGAGAGGAUGAUCAGUCACACUGGAACUGAGACACGGUCCAGACUCCUACGGGAGGCAGCAGUGGGGAAUAUUGGACAAUGGGCGAAAGCCUGAUCCAGCCAUGCCGCGUGUGUGAAGAANGUCUUCNGAUUGUAAAGCACUUUAAGUUGGGAAGAANGGCAUUUACCUAAUACGUNAGUGUUUUGACGUUACCGACAGAAUAAGCACCGGCUAACUCUGU
rnacentral:rRNA from 1 species